UCUGUCGUAGCUCAGUCGGUAGAGAAUGUGUCUGCAAUGCAGAAGACCCAGGUUCAAUUUCUGGCUUGGGAA
rnacentral:tRNA from 1 species